AUUGAACGCUGGCGGCAGGCCUAACACAUGCAAGUCGAGCGGAGCGGCGGACGGGUGAGUAAGAACUAGGAAUCUGCCUGGUAGUGGGGGAUAACGUUCGGAAACAGACGCUAAUACCGCAUGCUAUCAGAUGAGCCUAGGUCGGAUUAGCUAGUUGGUGGGGUAAUGGCUCACCAAGGCGAAGAUCCUUAACUGGUCUGAGAGGAUGAUCAGUCACCCUGGAACUGAGAAACGGCCCAGACUCCUACGGGAGGCAGCAGUGGGGAAUAUUUGACAAUGGGCGAAAUCCUGAUCCAGCCAUGCCGCGUGUGUGAAGAAGGUCUUCGGAUUGUAAAGCACUUUAAGUUGGGAGGCGUUACCGACAGAAUAAGCACCGGCUAACUCCGUGCCAGCAGCCGCGGUAAUUC
rnacentral:rRNA from 1 species